UAUGUGAUCGUCUCUCGCAUAUCAAUAAGCGGAGGAAAAGAAACUAACGAGGAUUCCCCUAGUAACGGCGAGUGAAGUGGGAAGAGCUCAAAUUUGAAAUCUUAAAGGGUUUCCCUUUACGAAUUGUAGUUUAAAGAAGUGUUUUCUGUUGAGGUUUUGGUAAAAGUUCUUUGGAAUAGGACAUCAUGGAGGGUGAGAAUCCCGUAUUUGACCUUUACUUUCAACUUUGUGAUACACUUUCAAAGAGUCGGAUUGUUUGGGAAUGCAGUCCAAAAUGGGUGGUAAAUUUCAUCUAAAGCUAAAUAUUGGCGAGAGACCGAUAGCGAACAAGUACCGUGAGGGAAAGAUGAAAAGAACUUUGAAAGAGAGAGUUAAACAGUACGUGAAAUUGUCAAAAGGGAAGCGUUUGACACCAGUGUUGUUUUUCUGAAAAUCAAUUAAAGAACUGUUUAUGCUAAGCUUGUUUAGACUUUAUCAGCUAACUGUUUAGUUUUGAGCUUUUCUUUAAUGCACUUUUCAGUUAACAAGUCAACAUCAAUUUCUUUUGCUGUAAAAAAGCUUGAGGAAGGUGGCUUGAGAUUCGUCUUAAGUGUUUAUAGCCUCUUGCCUAUGCAGUCGGAGAGAUUGAGGUCUGCAGCGUAGAUCCUUCGGGGCUAAAUGCAUUUGUGCUAAGUUAUAGCAUUUUAUAGACAACUUGUUGACUACUGAUUUGUCUUGUAGCUUACUCGCUUAUGUUAUUUUACCUACGCUUAGGAUGUUGAUAUGCAUGACUGAUAU
rnacentral:rRNA from 1 species